UAGUAGUUUGACUCCGUGGCUCAGGACAACGCUGGCGGCGUGCUUAACACAUGCAAGUCGAACGGAAAGGCCCUGCUUUUGUGGGGUGCUCGAGUGGCGAACGGGUGAGUAACACGUGAGUAACCUGCCCUUGACUUUGGGAUAACUUCAGGAAACUGGGGCUAAUACCGGAUAGGAGCUCCUGCUGCAUGGUGGGGGUUGGAAAGUUUCGGCGGUUGGGGAUGGACUCGCGGCUUAUCAGCUUGUUGGUGGGGUAGUGGCUUACCAAGGCUUUGACGGGUAGCCGGCCUGAGAGGGUGACCGGCCACAUUGGGACUGAGAUACGGCCCAGACUCCUACAGGAGGCAGCAGUGGGGAAUAUUGCACAAUGGGCGGAAGCCUGAUGCAGCAACGCCGCGUGCGGGAUGACGGCCUUCGGGUUGUAAACCGCUUUCGCCUGUGACGAAGCGUGAGUGACGGUAAUGGGUAAAGAAGCACCGGCUAACUACGUG
rnacentral:rRNA from 1 species